UGGCACAAAGACCACCCAGAAGCCGGGGCCCACCCAAGAGGUUCUGCCAUCUUGUUCCUGUGUUCUCAGCAAAAAGAAAACAAACAAACCAGGCUAACCAAAGAGGCCAGGAGUUUUACCAUCUCUGAUUGUCUUUGUUCCAGAACCAAAGAAUCCUAUGUUUUGGGCCAGAGUCAAGAUGGUGGCUUAGAAGCAGCAGAAGUUCAGACCUCUGAAAACCCUUCCUUACAGAUCACAAACUGAAUGCUCCUAGGGGACUGAAAAUCAAAUGUAACAACAAGACAGAGUCAAGGAAACCUCCUGCUGGACUCAAUUCAAAAGUGCAACGAGAGGCAGAAUCAAGAUGGUGGCCUAGAAGGAGCAGAAGUUCAGACCUCUGAAUACCCUUCCUUACUGAUCACAAACUGAAUGCUCCUAGGGGACAGAAAAUCAAACUGAAUAACAAGACAGAGCCAAGGAACCCUCCUGCUGGACUUAAUUCAAAAGGGACAUCGCUUUGGGAACUGUGUGGGAAAUGGGAUGAAACUUCAAGUUGGGAGACUAAUGAGUGCCCUGUUGAGGAGCCAGCAAGGGGAAGAGGGAAAAAGGAGAAAGUGAUACAGCUGAGCCACUUGCAGGUGCCAAACUCUUUAAUAGAUGAGGGCAUAAGUGAAUUCAUCCGUCAUUCUGCCAUGUGUUGAAGUUCAAGGAUGGGGAGGGUGGAUUCGCAGCUCCCAGUUCCUUGAGACUUGGGAAGUAUUUGCUCUGGGAAAUGAAUGAUGAGAGUUCUUGCUGCAUG
rnacentral:lncRNA from 1 species